AUUCGAAAAUGGCAAACUUGUCGAAAGACAAGGACGCAAAGCUGAGGGUCUACGGUUCCCGCGAACUAUGACAGCCUGGUUACCGAA
rnacentral:ncRNA from 1 species